UACGUAGGGUGGAAGCGUUAAUCGGAAUUACUGGGCGUAAAGCGUGCGCAGGCGGCUUUGCAAGACAGAUGUGAAAUCCCCGGGCUCAACCUGGGAACUGCAUUUGUGACUGCAAGGCUAGAGUACGGCAGAGGGGGAUGGAAUUCCGCGUGUAGCAGUGAAAUGCGUAGAUAUGCGGAGGAACACCAAUGGCGAAGGCAAUCCCCUGGGCCUGUACUGACGCUCAUGCACGAAAGCGUGGGGAGCAAACAGG
rnacentral:rRNA from 1 species